GACUUCAAGGCAUUUGAAGUAAAGUUAAGAGCAGUUUUAGCAGGUGUCAGUUAGACAGCUGGUUUGGCUGUGGAGUUCAGUGUAUUUUCGACUGUAACCUUGCUCUUAGUGUGCUAGCCUAGCACGCAGCUAGCUUUUGUUUCAGUUUGGCAGGCUUAGCCAAACUAGUCCAGAACACGGAUUCAUUGUUCAUGGUGAACGUGGAACUUUUGCUGUACCGCUGCCGAGAAAUUAGUGAGACUGUGACCGAAAGCUCUUCGUUCCAAGCACCGUUGUGGGAAGCCUCGACGGCGUCGAGAGAGACAGAGAGAGCAAGAGUGUGAGUGGAUCGUCGCGUUGUUGCGGGUGACGUGACUUCGCUGUGGGCGAGCGGGUAGAGCCUCGACGGAGGGUAGUAAUGAGCCAGGAGUGAGACACCACCCAGGAGUUCAGCCCGGGUGUGGAAAUGUCCUCCAGAGGAUGGUGGGUCAGCCUGAUCUCCGCCUCCUCCUCUCUCUGACGUCCCCUUGGACCCGCUAAUACCUGCUGCCUUUCAGAACCAUGCUCUGAGCACACUCCACACACUAAUGGCUUCUUUUGUGAGCUGGAAAUGGAGCUUGGGGGACAGGAAAUGAGCAAAAAACGAAGAAAUCUCAUCCGCUCCACCGCUGCGAGAAAGAGAGAGACACUUCUGUUACACUGUAGCUCAUAGGGCUCAGAGGAAGCAGCCAACCAGAAGAUAGACAGAUACAUAAAUAGAUAGAGAAAUAGAGAUACAGUUUUGUCAACAUUUAGAAUCAUGGUUGUCAUGAAAGAUGUCAUGACCAUCUUUCUUUGCCGACUGGAACUUUGUUUGAAACUGUCAUUGAAGGGGCACCGAUACAAAAUUAAACCUGUUCCAUGGUGUUUAGAUCUGUAGCCUUAUUGGCUGACUUAACGUAGGCUUAAUGAGCUACAGACCAAAACAGUGGCAUACCCCGUAGUACAGACUUGAUCCUGACUAACAGGUGCUCUGCUGAAACAAGUGUAGAUGAUAAAAACUAAUGUGGUGUUGGAAUGACAAAGAUUUGUUCUGUGGUAUCUAGGACUGUAGUGUUUUGGGUAGGCUAACGACAGCUUAGUAGGACAAACAUGCCACCCAUCAGCACAGGCUUGGUUCCAGCUAACUGAUGCUAAAAUAACAUGUUUAUAUCUGAGAUGAUAUCUGAGAGAAUACAGUUGAGUGAAUGAUGUUAGAGCAAAGGCUGAAAUAUAAAGUGUCAUAAAUGGUCAAUUUAUUUGGCCCAGAUUUGGCCCAUAUAUAGUGGACCUGUGGAUGAGUUGACGCAGCCAGACUUAUCCUGAGUCUUAUCCUGAUUCACGGCCAAAUGUGGCCAUAAGAGAAUGGCAGAUGUGGGCUACCUUUGGGCCAAAAAUUCAUUGCUAUCUUGGGGGUGGAAGGUUGCAUUAUAUUUUAGCUGUGAAAUUAAAAAAAAUUGAAUAUUUCACCAAGAAA